CGAACGGUAACAGGAAGCAGCUUGCUGCUUCGCUGACGAGUGGCGGACGGGUGAGUAAUGUCUGGGAAGCUGCCUGAUGGAGGGGGAUAACUACUGGAAACGGUAGCUAAUACCGCAUAAUGUCGCAAGACCAAAGAGGGGGACCUUCGGGCCUCUUGCCAUCGGAUGUGCCCAGAUGGGAUUAGCUUGUUGGUGGGGUAACGGCUCACCAAGGCGACGAUCCCUAGCUGGUCUGAGAGGAUGACCAGCCACACUGGAACUGAGACACGGUCCAGACUCCUACGGGAGGCAGCAGUGGGGAAUAUUGCACAAUGGGCGCAAGCCUGAUGCAGCCAUGCCGCGUGUAUGAAGAAGGCCUUCGGGUUGUAAAGUACUUUCAGCGGGGAGGAAGGGAGUAAAGUUAAUACCUUUGCUCAUUGACGUUACCCGCAGAAGAAGCACCGGCUAACUCCGUGCCAGCAGCCGCGGUAAUACGGAGGGUGCAAGCGUUAAUCGGAAUUACUGGGCGUAAAGCGCACGCAGGCGGUUUGUUAAGCCAGAUGUGAAAUCCCCGGGCUCAACCUGGGAACUGCAUCUGAUACUGGCAAGCUUGAGUCUCGUAGAGGGGGGUAGAAUUCCAGGUGCAGCGGUGAAAUGCGUAGAGAUCUGGAGGAAUACCGGUGGCGAAGGCGGCCCCCUGGACGAAGACUGACGCUCAGGUGCGAAAGCGUGGGGAGCAAACAGGAUUAGAUACCCUGGUAGUCCACGCCGUAAACGAUGUCGACUUGGAGGUUGUGCCCUUGAGGCGUGGCUUCCGGAGCUAACGCGUUAAGUCGACCGCCUGGGGAGUACGGCCGCAAGGUUAAAACUCAAAUGAAUUGACGGGGGCCCGCACAAGCGGUGGAGCAUGUGGUUUAAUUCGAUGCAACGCGAAGAACCUUACCUGGUCUUGACAUCCACGGAAGUUUUCAGAGAUGAGAAUGUGCCUUCGGGAACCGUGAGACAGGUGCUGCAUGGCUGUCGUCAGCUCGUGUUGUGAAAUGUUGGGUUAAGUCCCGCAACGAGCGCAACCCUUAUCCUUUGUUGCCAGCGGUCCGGCCGGGAACUCAAAGGAGACUGCCAGUGAUAAACUGGAGGAAGGUGGGGAUGACGUCAAGUCAUCAUGGCCCUUACGACCAGGGCUACACACGUGCUACAAUGGCGCAUACAAAGAGAAGCGACCUCGCGAGAGCAAGCGGACCUCAUAAAGUGCGUCGUAGUCCGGAUUGGAGUCUGCAACUCGACUCCAUGAAGUCGGAAUCGCUAGUAAUCGUGGAUCAGAAUGCCACGGUGAAUACGUUCCCGGGCCUUGUACACACCGCCCGUCACACCAUGGGAGUGGGUUGCAAAAGAAGUAGGUAGCUUAACCUUCGGGAGGGCGCUUACCACUUUGUGAUUCAUGACUGGGGUGAAGUCGGAACAAGGUA
rnacentral:rRNA from 1 species